ACAUUUUUAUUUUUCCGAAUCUGUUCGCCUGUAGUCAAUAAGACUAUGGCGGCGAAUCUAUACAUGGUGCGCCUGGAAACGGGCUGGCCUCCCAUUGUGGAAAGGAGCCUUCAUUAUCUGGAC
rnacentral:ncRNA from 2 species